AUGUAUGUGAGAAACCUCGCGCGACGUCUCCACAGAAAUAGAACUCCAUCCUUGCUCUUCAAGUUGGAUAUCCGGAAGGCCUUUGACUCGGUGCGAUGGGAGAACAUCCUUUACCUACUCCGCCGGUUGGGAUUUCCAGUCCACUUUCAGGAUUGGGUGGCGGCCCUCUUAUGCACGUCCUCUUCGCGCGUCCUCCUCAACGGUAUUGCCGGGCCCGCCAUCUACCAUGGACGAGGGCUCACACAAGGGGACCCCCUUUCACCCCUUCUCUUUGUCCUCGCGAUCGACCCCUUACCGAAGCUCCUCGACAUUGCCACAAGUCACAACCUGAUCCAGAAAAUUCGAGGGCGUGGAUCUACUGUCUGUACCUCCCUGUAUGCCGACGAUGCGGCGAUCUUCAUCUCCCCUUCACGGGAAGAUGUGGCCAACCUUGCGGCCAUCCUUAGUGCAUUUGGAGGGGUCACUGGUCUGUCCACCAACUUUCAGAAGAGCUCUGUCGUCGCAAUUCGUUGUGGCAACCUAAACCUUGACGACAUACUCCACAGUCUGCGUGCCUCACGAACUUCUUUCCCAUUGAAGUAUCUGGGCCUCCAAUUAUCCAUUUGGCAGCUUAAAAGGGUGGACUUCCAACACCUUGAGGACAAGAUGGCUGCGAAGCUCCCUCCUUUGUAA
rnacentral:rRNA from 1 species